AUUGAACGCUGGCGGCAGGCCUAACACAUGCAAGUCGAGCGAGCGGCGGACGGGUGAGUAAUGUAUGGGGACUGCCCGAUAGAGGGGGAUAACUACUGGAAACGGUGGCUAAUACCGCAUACUAUCGGAUAACCCAUAUGGGAUUAGCUAGAAGGUGGGGUAAAGGCUCACCUAGGCGACGAUCUCUAGCUGGUCUGAGAGGAUGAUCAGCCACCCUGGGCCUGAGACACGGCCCCGCCUCCUACGGAGGCAGCAGUGGGGAAUAUUGCACAAUGGGGACAAUCCUGACGCAGCCAUGCCGCGUGAAUGAAGAAGGCCUUCGGGUUUUAAAGUUCUUUCGGUAGCGAGGCGUUAACUACAGAAGAAGCCCCGGCUAACUCCGUGCCAGCAGCCGCGGUAAUUC
rnacentral:rRNA from 1 species